UUAAAAGCUUUAGCAGGCUAUUCUUUCUUUCUUCGGCUUCCAAACUUCUUUCACCACAUUUUCUCUCUAAUGACAUCCGAAAAUAGCUAAAAUAUCACCUCAAUUCCUCCCAUUUGCAUAGAAGAUUUACUCCUUUCAUAUAAAUAAGGUUGUCUUGAAAAAUGAAUAAUAACCGAUCUUGGAUGUAUGAGAGAAUUGAUGAUAGAGGAUUUUUAAAUGCUCUAUUUAAUUCCGGUGUGGAGGAAUUUAUGAAUUAUGCUAUAUCUCAACCAACGUCUAUGGGCGGGACAAGCAUACAAUGUCCUUGUUCAAAGUGUAAGAAUCGAAAAUAUUGGAAUGGAGAUACUGUGAAGCUACAUUUAUUGAAAAAUGGAUUUGUGAAAGAUUAUUAUGUAUGGAGUCGACAUGGGGAGCCAUACAUUAAAGAUGGACAUGUCGAACAUUCUUCAACAAAUUAUUCAAAUAUUUCACGGGGCACAGAUGAGAACAACUUAAUGUACAAUAUGAUGAUUGAUGUAGCUGGCCCGUUCACCGCCGCGAAGGCUCAACGUAAAGAUCCAACUCCGGCCGAUGUUUAUCUUGUUACACAUACGGUGAAGCAUGACAAAAAGAUUUUUAUUACCAAGAAAGCGGAACAAGUAUAUGUGAAACAGGGUUGAGACACUACGUGAGGAACGUUCGACACCCAUUGAAGGUUCUGAUGAACAUCGAGUUGUUGAUGAAGACCAAUUGUUUCUUGAAGCUGAUGGCGGACUAGACAAAAAAAACAAAGUUUAUGGCAUGAGUUCAUUACAAAGUGUUAUGUAUGGACUAGAAACUGAGGGUAGUCGUUACAGGGGCUCCAACUUCAACAAUGAAAAAUAUAAGCAAAUGCAGGGGGAGUUGCAGGACAUGAAGAACCAAGUAAAUGAAUUACAGGAGAUGAGAAACAAGGAAUUAGAAGAGAUCAGAAAGCAGAUGGAAGAGAUGAAGAGCCAACUUGCUAUAGUGUUUAACAAUCGGAAUGGAAAUUAAACAUUAGUGUCUGACUGGCUGCAUUUUAUUUAUGUAUUAAGUUUGUAUGACUUCUGAAUUAUAACUUGGAUGUUGCUUUUACUUAUUAAUUUAUGUCAUUUUCCCUUUA